rnacentral:rRNA from 1 species
GUUGAACGCUGGCGGAAUGCUUUACACAUGCAAGUCGAACGGCAGCACGGACUUCGGUCUGGUGGCGAGUGGCGAACGGGUGAGUAAUGUAUCGGAACGUAUCCAAUAAUGGGGGAUAACUAGUCGAAAGAUUAGCUAAUACCGCAUACGCCCUACGGGGGAAAGCUAGGGACCUUCGGGCCUGGCGUUAAUGGAGCGGCCGAUAUCUGAUUAGCUAGUUGGUGAGGUAAAAGCUCACCAAGGCGACGAUCAGUAGCUGGUCUGAGAGGACGACCAGCAAGACUGGAACUGGGACACGGUCCAGAGUCCUACGGGAGGCAGCAGUGGGGAAUUUUGGACAAUGGGCUGAAGCCUGAUCCAGCCAUUCCGCGUGAGUGGAGAAGGCCUUCGGGUUGUAAAGCUCUUUCGCAAGAGAAGAAAACUUACCCUCUAACAUAGGGUGAGGCUGACGGUAUCUUGAUAAGAAGCACCGGCUAACUACGUGCCAGCCGCCGCAGUAA